CUGCGAAAUGAUGGCUCUCUAUGUUGCAGCAUAAAAGACCUGAAAAUUGUCCAAAUCUGGCAGUAUUUGUGGCUACAGAAAAGGAUUCCUUCCUGCGCAAUGAUGGCUCUCUAUGUUGCAGCAUAAAAGACCUGAAAAUUGUCCAAAUCUGGAAGUCCUUGUGGUUACUGAAAGAGCAAAUGUUCCCCUAUUCAUUUAUGCUCCUUCCUGCGCACUGAUGGCUCUCUAUGUUGCAGUAUAAAACACCUGAAAAAUGUUCUAAUCUGCCAAUCCUGAUGGCAUCUGAAAGAGCGAGUGUUCCUCUUUCCAUCGAUGUAAGUUUCAUAUCAAUAUUUGAUUUAGUUCAGAAAUGGUCCUCGGAAG